rnacentral:rRNA from 1 species
GACGAACGCUGGCGGCGUGCCUAAUACAUGCAAGUUGAGCGCUGAAGGUUGGUACUUGUCCCAACUGGAUGAGCAGCGAACGGGUGAGUAACGCGUGGGGAAUCUGCCUUUGAGCGGGGGACAACAUUUGGAAACGAAUGCUAAUACCGCAUAAAAACUUUAAACACAAGUUUUAAGUUUGAGAGAUGCAAUUGCAUCACUCAAAGAUGAUCCCGCGUUGUAUUAGCUAGUUGGUGAGGUAAAGGCUCACCAAGGCGAUGAUACAUAGCCGACCUGAGAGGGUGAUCGGCCACAUUGGGACUGAGACACGGCCCAAACUCCUACGGGAGGCAGCAGUAGGGAAGCUUCGGCAAUGGACGAAAGUCUGACCGAGCAACGCCGCGGGAGUGAAGAAGGUUUUCGGAUCGUAAAACUCUGUUGGUAGAGAAGAACGUUGGUGAGAGUGGAAAGCUCAUCAAGUGACGGUAACUACCCAGAAAGGGACGGCUAACUACGUG